rnacentral:rRNA from 1 species
GCACGGGAGCAAUCCUGGUGGCGAGUGGCGAACGGGUGAGUAAUAUAUCGGAACGUGCCCAGUCGUGGGGGAUAACGCAGCGAAAGCUGUGCUAAUACCGCAUACGAUCUCUGGAUGAAAGCGGGGGACUCGCAAGGGCCUCGCGCGAUUGGAGCGGCCGAUAUCAGAUUAGCUAGUUGGCGGGGUAAAAGCCCACCAAGGCGACGAUCUGUAGCUGGUCUGAGAGGACGACCAGCCACACUGGAACUGAGACACGGUCCAGACUCCUACGGGAGGCAGCAGUGGGGAAUUUUGGACAAUGGGCGAAAGCCUGAUCCAGCAAUGCCGCGUGCAGGAUGAAGGCCUUCGGGUUGUAAACUGCUUUUGUACGGAACGAAACGGUCUGCCCUAAUACGGUGGGCUAAUGACGGUACCGUAAGAAUAAGCACCGGCUAACUACGUGCCAGCAGCCGCGGUAAUACGUAGGGUGCGAGCGUUAAUCGGAAUUACUGGGCGUAAAGCGUGCGCAGGCGGUUAUAUAAGACAGAUGUGAAAUCCCCGGGCUCAACCUGGGACCUGCAUUUGUGACUGUAUAGCUAGAGUACGGUAGAGGGGGAUGGAAUUCCGCGU